rnacentral:rRNA from 1 species
CUACAGCCUCAGAUUAUUUGUGGUGACCCACUGAAUGUAAGGAUCUCACUAAUUGGAGGUAAAGAAACUAACCAGAAUUCCCCCAGUAACAGCGAGUGAAGAGCCCAGCGCUGAAUCCGCAUUAAGCGUGGGUGCAGGAAAUGCAGCGUACAGAAGACCGUCUCCCCAGCAUCAGUCAUGAUGCCCAAGUCCUUAUGUUCACGACCCAACAAGUGGAUAGUGUUAGGCUGUUAGCGGCCACCAGCAUGCGGGAUCGGGUUUUCGCUGAGUUGGGUGCUUCGAAUUACAAUCCCAAUGUGGGUGGUGGACUCCAUCAAGGCUUAGAAUGUGCGGGAGACUGAUAGCCAACAAGUACCAUAAAGGAAAAUUGAACAGUACUUUGAAGAGAGAUUUCAAGAUGGCGUGAAACCAUCAAGAGGAAAACGGAUGGGGAAUCAACCAGGUGGGCAGGUUGGCCACCUGAAACAGCAGAUCCCCUUGCGGGGCCACCACCCGGGCAUAUGCAGCCCCUGCAGGGUGCAUUUCCUCCAUGGCAUAGCACAGCGAUUGGCUCCAGGUCGGCUGGGAAUGCCCCAGGGUGCAGGUAGCUCUCAGCUCAGGUGGAGAACGUUUGAGCCUCCUGGCUACAGUUUCACCAUGUCCAUGGGGCUGAGGAACAUUGACCACCAACUCAUCCUCCUCCAGCAACCAUCCUAACCCCUCUAGGGAGUCAAUGGGGCAGAGACAGGGUACUGGCCCCCUGCUCCCUAUGUGAUUGUCGACUGAAGUGGACUGUCAACAGCGUACCCUGACCAUGCUGCACCACUGGGCAGGGAGGGCCACAAAGUGUGCUAGGGGACUGCAGUGAUGUUGGUUAACCACCUGACCCAUCUUGUAACACACACCAAGGAGUCUAUCACAUGCACGAGUCAGAGAGCGAAACAAAACCCUGUGGCACAAUGAAGGUGAGGGACAUUGCACGCUGGCUGAGGUGGGAUCAUGUUGUGCCAUGCACACCACCGGCAUCUCCCGGUGUGUGAUAGGACCUAAAAGAUGGUGAACUAUGCCUGGGCAGGGCAAAGCCAGAGAAGACUCUGGUGGAGGUGAGUAGUGGUCCUAUUAUGCAAAUCGGUCAUCCAAACUGUGUGUAGGUGCAGAAGACUAAUCAAACCAUCUAGAAAAGCUGUUGGUUGAUAUAGGCUGCACAACGGUGGCCAUGGAAGUCAGAAUCUGCUAAGGAGUGUGUAACAACUCGCCUGCUAAAUCAAUUAGCCCUUACAAUGCAUGGCACUGGAGCAUAAGGUCAUGCCCAGCCUUUGUCGCCACUGAGAGCUGCAGGGCCUAAACUGUGACAAGUAUGAGGACUGAUGCAGUGUGCAUGGUAGCCCGAGGCAAAUGCCCGGGUGGAGCUGCCACAGUUGUGGACCUUGGUGGCAGUAGCAACUGUUCGAACUUUGAUGGCUGUAGUGGAGGAUGGUACCAUGUGAACAGCUAUUGAACAACUGGUCAGUCAUUGCUAAGAGAUGGGCAAUCAUCAUUUCGAAGGGACAGGCAAUGACCUGCAUUGGCCUCAGGCAAUCAAAAGGGAGUCAGGUUCAGAUCCCCAAACACUGAGUGGCAUAGACGGGACCCUUGUGGCAUCCAUUCUGGUAACACAAAGGUUCCUGGAGAAUCCAGCAUGCACCCUGGGGGAGAUCUAUUUUCUUUGUGAAGGGCAGGGCACCUUGGAAUGGGUUUGCCCCAAGAGGAGCAUGGGCCUUGGAAAGUAAUGUGGUUCAUGCAGCGUAUGGUGAGUUCCCGCAGGGAGAUGGUGUAAAUCUUGCACAGGCCCGUAUCCAUAUCCGCAGCAGGCCCUAAGGUGAACCACCUCUGGCAUGUUGAAACAAUGUAGGUAAGGAAAAUCAACAAGUCAGAUCUGUAACUUCAGGAUGAGAAUGUGCUGUAAUGGCUGAGUGGGUCAGGCUGGUGCAUGUAGCAGGGCUGGCCAUGCACCAUGACUAGACAAAGCAUCUCCACCCCCAGGGGCACAGCAACACUAGACGCGAGCCGAGCCAAUCCUGUGGAUUGCUUCAGCUGGGGUGUUGGCCUCUCAUUUCCCCUCCCAAGAUUCAGGGCUUGCGCUCCACCUCAGUCAACACCUAGCAGCUGACUUAGAACUGGUGCGGACCGGGCAAUCUGACGGCUUAAUUGAAACAAGGCAUUAAAAAAACCAGUGUUUUUGUGUUGACACAAUAUGAUUUCUGCCCAGUGCUCUGAAUAUCAAAGUGAAGAAACACAUUGAAGGGUGGAUUAUUGGUGGGAGAAACUAUUACUCUUUUAAUGUGUCCAAAAGCUACGUCAUCUCAUUUGUGACAUGCAUGAAUGGAUGAACAGGAUUUCCACUGUCCCUACCUACUACCUAGUGAACCACAGCCAAGGGAACCACAGCCAAGGGAACAUGAUGGGUUUAAUUAGUGGGGAUAGGAGACCCUGUUGAGCUUGACCCUAGUCUGACACUGUGAGGAGACACAAGAUGUGUAGGAUAGGUGAGAGGGACUACUAUUAUAAUGUUUUCACUUGCCAGGCUCAGGGAGGACAGAAACACCCCACAAAGGCGAAGGGCAAAAUAUUGCUGGGUCUCAAAUUUACAUAUGAAGACAGACCGUGUAAGCGUGGCUUUAUGAUCCUUCUGACUUUUUGUGUUUCCAGAAGAAGGUGUCAGAAAAUGACCACAGGGAUAUCUGUCUUGUGGCGGCAAGGCAUUCACAGCAACUUUGCAUUUUGAUCCUUCCAUGUCAGAUCCUCCCAUCAUUGUGAGGCAGAAUUCUGCAAACUUUAGAUUGUUUACCCACUAAUGCGGAAUGUGAGCUGGGUUAAGACCGCAAUGUGAGGGGUUAGUUGGACCCUACUGAUGAUGUGUUGUUACAAUAAUCAUCCUGCUCAGUAUGAGAGGAACCGCAUGUUCAGACAUUUGGUGUAUGUGCUUGGCUGAGGAGCCAAUAGGCCGAACCUGCCAUCUGUGGGAUUAUGACUGAAUGCCUCUAAGUCAGAAUCCCCCCUAAACUGUAAUGGCAAUGCAGCAGUGUGGUGCUUCAUUUGGCCUAGGAUAGCCAGCCUCUGGGCCAGUGCAUAGAUCUGCUUGCUUCUGGACUGCAGUGUGGAUAGAAAGGAUCAACCUCUCUCACACCUAGUGCACCACAUGUUCGUAGGGAAUGUGGUGCAUAAUCAUUUGUAGAUGACCUGAUUCUGGGUCCAGGUUUCAUAAGUAGCAGAGCAGUUACCUUGCUGCAAUCUAUUGGAAGUCAUCU